UGAUGUUUACCAAUAGUGAUGUCACGCAAUAUUUUCCAGAUCACGUGCACGUGUUGAUGUUAUGAUAACGGUGUGUGCUCACAUGGAUGUGAAUCAGGAUGGGAAGGUACAUUAUGUGAAGUGAAUAAGCCCGCUAAGCAGAAAAGAAUUUCCGGUGGCUCAGUGGCAGGAAUAGUUAGUGGAUGCGUAGCUGCUGUGAUUUUAUUCGUCAUUUUGUCAUAUUUCAUAUAUAGACGAACUUCACGAAUUAACGAGGACAAUUCCUUCCGUAUGAACAAACUACAAUACUGAACAGUAAAGAAUCAAACGGAAGCAAAUAAACAUCAUGUUCGUUAUACCAUAUAUCCAUAACCGUACAUUUGUUAAAAACAUACACCACUUAUUUGGUCUUAACAAGCAACAUUGACAUACUUAUUGAGUUCUUACAUUUUAGUGAACAACUUCCAACGGGAGUUAUAUAUAUUUUACAAUGUGUUUUGAAUCAAUCAGUGACGUUUCAUCAUUACAUGAUCGACUUUAUUUAAAAUAUUGAAAACAACACGUUAUUA